rnacentral:rRNA from 1 species
CGAACGCUGGCGGCGUGGAUUAGGCAUGCAAGUCGAACGCGAACGAUUUUCUUCGGAAGAUUUAGUAGAGUGGCGGACGGGUGAGUAACGCGUAGGUAAUCUGCCUUCAAGUGGGGGAUAGCUCCCGGAAACGGGAAUUAAUACCGCAUGUGGAGUUUCGAUUCUAAAGGUGGCCUCUAUUUAUAAGCUAUCGCUUGAAGAUGAGCCUGCGUCCUAUUAGUUAGUUGGUGUGGUAAGAGCGCACCAAGGCGAUGAUAGGUAGGCGGCCUUAACGGGUGGUCGCCCACACUGGGAUUGAGAUACGGCCCAGACUCCUACGGGAGGCAGCAGUCGAGAAUAGUCUACAAUGGACGAAAGUCUGAUAGUGCGACGCCGCGUGGAUGAAGAAGCAUUUCGGUGUGUAAAGUCCUUUUCUGUGUGAGCAAUGUUUUCCAGGUUAAUAGCUUGGAGAAAGCGAUAUUAACACAGGAAUAAGCUCCGGCUAACUCC